GAUCCUGGCUCAGGACGAACGCUGGCGGCGCGCCUAACACAUGCAAGUCGAACGAGCGAGAGAGAGUUUACUUCUCAAGCGAGUGGCGAACGGGUGAGUAACGCGUGAGGAACCUGCCUCAAAGAGGGGGACGAACAGUUGGAAACGACUGCUAAUACCGCAUAAGCCCACGACCCGGCAUCGGGUAGAGGGAAAAGGAGCAAUCCGCUUUGAGAUGGCCUCGCGUCCGAUUAGCUAGUUGGUGAGGUAACCGG
rnacentral:rRNA from 1 species